CCUUGCAUAUGCAUGUUUUACAGCUUGGUUUGAUUGCUAAACCAUCAUACUUAUGACUUGUUUAUUUUCCCUCGUAUUUAGGCAAUUGACACAAGAGAUGCAUUGGCAAUGUUUAAGCUUGUUCUAAUGGCCUGUGGAGCAGAUAAACUUGUCACUUUCCUAGGGGAAAGAUAAUAUGGGGCGUUCAGUAAGCAUCCUUUAUAUGGGUUUGAGUCACUUAAGCUGUGCUGACCAGCGGCUCGAGCACCAUUUCAAUCAACAUUUCGUCAAAUAUGAGCAAGAAGUAAGCAUCACACAUAAAAGGCAUUUCAAGUUAUUUCCUUCGGUCUUUCCUUCACAAAACAGAGCCUGCAAGGAUUAAAAAUUGUGAAUCCAUAAGUAAAUUCUUUUGCCUUAAUUAUCUGAUUGUGUAAUAAAUUACACAAAAUACACGUUGGACACACUA